rnacentral:lncRNA from 1 species
UUCCCUGCCAGCACCUGAUCUAGCGUCGUUCGUCCCACGACGGCGAGAUCCAGUUCCCCUGUGGCCUCUUCCUUCGGCCUUGGUUGACAAAAAGCAGUAAGAAAUCCUCACAUUUCCAAAUUUCUUUGCUACAAUUCAAUUACCUCUUCUCACCGUGCAAAUUUAAGAAACUCAACAACACAUUCUGAAGUGUUGUUUGUUGAUCAACUGGUUUAAUCAGUGCUGGCUUUGCGAGACUGUUGUCGUGUGAAAUUUUCAGAAGGAAAAAAUGCCUGUAGAUAUUGCUCUUCAAUCAUAUGACAAUAAACAUCAAUCUUCUCUUUUCUAUGCUGAAUGGUCAUUGCUGCUUGAUUUAGUGCGUUGCUGUGCAGUAAAUAUCAAGGCUUAAUUAGUAUAAGACUAAUAACAAUGGAAGAUCUAGAAGUUUCUAUCUCUGAACUUGCAGAGUUCUCCGAGCUUAGGAUAGCAAGACAUUGUCGAGGUUCACAAAGAGUAAAAGGCGACCUUACAUGAGCAUAACAAUAGCAGUACAAAUGCCAAAAGAAUUUGGCACACAAGUACAUAGUUACCACAACAAUAUUAGUACAUCAUAAAUGAUUGCUACGUCAUAAAACUCAGCGUCUAAGUUCCCCUCUCAGAACACACACAGUUAUAUUAUCCAGCAUAUCACUUCAGGAUGAACACACAGGUUUGCUCAGUGUUAUCCAUCGGUUAGGGGCAUGCAUCCUUCUAUUCUGUAUCUUGAUAUACAGAAAGAAAUACUAUGUAUUGUUUACUCUUACUGAAUUGAUAAUGAGGUCUUAGCUGUAAUGUUAAUAUCCGUGAAAUCAAUAUCUAAGGUUGCUAUUCUUAAGAUUUAGUCGUUUCGUACUCCUAAUUUUGCACUGGGAUUUAAUGAACAUGAAUGCAGAAAAGGUUAACAUGCCUUGAACAUCUUUAUUUACUGAACAGAAAUAGACAAUUCAGUGUGAAAAUUUGGAUUUUGGAACACGCCUAUGCUUGAUAGGAUUUGUGUAUCUCACCCUUCCAAUGAAAUGAACUGUAUGGCAUCUAAAUUUCGACCCUCCGCCGCUAGAUCAUUUGCUGUGAAGAAGUCUCCAGUAAGCGAUUGAAGUGUACACUGGAUAUUGCACUUCCAAUUGCGUGAUCCAUAUUGGUUGACUGAACACAUAAUUACCUUUUUUAUGUCCUGCAAAUAUGUGGUGUUUUGCAGAUUUAUGUUAACACAAGCUCACACCAUAUAUUUUCUAUGUACCUCUGUAUCCCAAUGGAAAAUGCAUUCUACAGAGCACUGUAACUUGGCAGUGCUUAUCUUUUCCUGAUUGACACAUGCAUUUCUUGAGAUGGACCAAAGCAGAACCUUGAUUCCGUAUAGUUUGCUUGCAUUCAGCUAACUUAAUAGCAGCGAACUAUCAAAUGAUUUCUGAACAAUAGUUAUUUGAUAUAAUUUUUGUUUUCUAUCACCAAUAAUGGUUGCUCCUCUGAUGCAUGUAGGCUAUAUCAUCAUUCAAGGAGAUUGUGGCAAAAUGAAGUGCGAUGCUAGAAACUUUCUCGUGAUACAAAAAACUCUGAAUCGUGGCAUUGUGUAGUGAAAAUAUGAAGAGGCUGGUACCAUUAUUAGUUUUUUACUGACCAGAAAAUUGUACUACCUCCGUAAACUAAUAUAAGAGCGUUUAGAAUACUAAAGUAGUAAUCUAAACACUCUUAU